rnacentral:misc_RNA from 1 species
GAUGAAGAACGCAGCGAAAUGCGAUAAGUAAUGCGAAUUGCAGAAUUCCAGUGAGUCAUCGAAUCUUUGAACGCACAUUGCGCCCGCCGGCAUUCCGGCGGGCAUGCCUGUUCGAGCGUCAUUUCAACCCUCAAGCUCCCCUUUCCGGAGGGGGUUCCAAAGGCUUGGUGUUGGGGGAUCGCCCAGACGCCCCGUCACUGGGGCGGACGGGCGACCCCUGAAAGCUAGUGGCGGUCCCGCCCGCGGCAACCUUUGCGUAGUAGCACAAACCUCGCAUCUGGUGUCCGGUGGUGACCACGCCGUAAAACGAACCCAUUUUCUCAUGAGUUGACCUCGGAUCAGGUAGGAAUACCCGCUGAACUUAAGCAUAUCAAUAAGCGGAGGA